CGGUGGCCAUCGCCGACCAUCAGCCCGACGAGGUCGUAUGCGCUCCAUCUUGUCUCACGUGCCCGCCGCCGACCGCUGCCCCGGUGAGGUUGUCCGCAUUUCUCUCGUCACGUGCACCGCUGAUCCAACCGUCAGCGCUUCGCUCGUAGCGGGCCGCCGUCGGUGGUUCGGUCUAAUCGUGCGCAUGUCUACUUUUUGGCGAGACGACUCAAGCUUGGCCCCGAUAAAUGACGACAUGCCAGGUUGUGAGAGACCUCAGUCGGAAGUUCGCGUUCAUCCUGUAUGUUAUCAUGUCGAAGUCCACAUUUAUCGCUGAUGUAAGUUCACCUUACCUUUGUUGGUUGUGGCUUGAUCCUUGAGUUGCAAUAUAAUGCCAUGUUUAAAUAUAGGACGUUGACGAUAGCAUCCAUUUCUUAUGGGGUGUCGACUCGAAAACCAUCUUGUGUUCUCUAAUGGUAUUGGGAUCCUCAAGACAGACUGUGACAACUUGUACGCGCCAUUCCCUAAAGAAAAUCAAAACCGGAGUGAAAUGGCAUGCCAUGUUCUUCGUGGCCCGGAUGUGGCCGUCGGGAUGACGAUGUCGUCGGAUAUCGUCUUGAGGCUCGGGACGAUCCUCUUGGUGAGCAGCGCGCACACCGGCACGCCAAAGAGGAUGGCGAGGAUGAUGUCGACGACGACCUUGCCGAAGUGAAGUUGUCAUCUUGAGGAUUGCCUGGGUGAUGUUCUCCAUCAAUCCAAUGCGAUUUUCAUAGAGGAAUCGUUGUUUG